UGGGGGAAUUUUGGACAAUGGGCGAAAGCCUGAUCCAGCAAUGCCGCGUGUGUGAAGAAGGCCUUCGGGUUGUAAAGCACUUUUGUCCGGAAAGAAAUCCUUGGCUCUAAUACAGUCGGGAGAUGACGGUACCGGAAGAAUAAGCACCGGCUAACUACGUGCCAGCAGCCGCGGUAAUACGUAGGGUGCAAGCGUUAAUCGGAAUUACUGGGCGUAAAGCGUGCGCAGGCGGUUUGCUAAGACCGAUGUGAAAAUCCCCGGGCUCAACCUGGGAACUGCAUUGGUGACUGGGCAGGCUAGAGUAUGGCAGAGGGGGGUAGAAUUCCACGUGUAGCAGUGAAAUGCGUAGAGAUGUGGAGGAAUACCGAUGGCGAAGGCAGCCCCCUGGGCCAAAUACUGACGCUCAUGCACGAAAAGCGUGGGGGAGCAAAACAGGAUUAGAUACCCUGGUAGUCCACGCCCUAAAACGAUGUCAACUAGUUGUUGGGGAUUCAUUUCCUUAGUAACGUAGCUAACGCGUGAAGUUGACCGCCUGGGGAGUACGGUCGCAGGAUUAAAACUUAAAUGAAUUGACGGGGUCAUAGCUG
rnacentral:rRNA from 1 species